CAUGUUCCUGCCCCAUUGAAAUUAGAAACUGCAAUGAACAAAUUCCAACACUGUUGAGCAAUCAAUAUCAACAUAAUGUACAGAACAUCACAAUUACAAUUCAUUGGGUAGGUUUGUAAAAUUACCAUUACCAACUAAACAAAUGCACUUUCAAUCAACUAGAAAAGAGCGAUGAAAAGCCAAAAUCACUCUCCUGCUAUACGCCAAGAACAUGAGAAGCCUCAAUAGCCAAUUUUAAUUCAACUUCCAAAGAAUGGUUGUCUCAACCAAAAAAUAUUCCUCUGUUAAGUGAUAACUUGAAAUAAUAACAGUAAAUCAUCCAAUUUGAAUCAAUCUUUCAACAGCCUUGCCUCGAAACCACCUUCUGCUCGCUUUAAUAGAUCGUAAGGCAUAUGGGUUCCUAGAAGUUUAUCCCAUAUAGA
rnacentral:misc_RNA from 1 species